rnacentral:rRNA from 1 species
GACGAACGCUGGCGGCGUGCUUAACACAUGCAAGUCGAACGGAGCACCCCUGAAGGAGUUUUCGGACAACGGAAGGGAAUGCUUAGUGGCGGACUGGUGAGUAACGCGUGAGGAACCUGCCUUUCAGAGGGGGACAACAGUUGGAAACGACUGCUAAUACCGCAUGAUGUAUCGGGAUCGCAUGGUACUGAUACCAAAGAUUUAUCGCUGAAAGAUGGCCUCGCGUCUGAUUAGCUAGUUGGUGAGGUAACGGCCCACCAAGGCGACGAUCAGUAGCCGGACUGAGAGGUUGACCGGCCACAUUGGGACUGAGAUACGGCCCAG